AAUGGGAGGAAAAGAAACUAACAAGGAUUCCCCUAGUAACGGCGAGUGAAGCGGGAAGAGCUCAAAUUUGUAAUCUGGCACUUUCAGUGUCCGAGUUGUAAUCUCGAGAAGUAUUUUCCGCGCCGGACUGCAUACAAGUCUGUUGGAAUACAGCGUCAUAGUGGUGAGAACCCCGUAACUGAUGCAGAUGCCCGGUGCUUUGUGAUAUACUUUCGAAGAGUCGAGUUGUUUGGGAAUGCAGCUCAAAUUGGGUGGUAAAUUCCAUCUAAAGCUAAAUAUUGGAGCAAGACCGAUAGCGAACAAGUACCGUGAGGGAAAGAUGAAAAGCACUUUGGAAAGAGAGUUAACAGUACGUGAAAUUGUUGGAAGGGAAACGCUUGAAGUCAGACUUGCUAUUCGGAGUUCAGCCGCAAGGUGUAUUCUUCGAUUUGCAGGCCAGCAUCAGUUUUCGGGGGUGGAAAAUCGUGGUUUGAAGGUAGCAACUUCGGUUGUGUUAUAGCUUUCCACUGGAUUCAUCUUUGGGGACUGAGGAACGCAGUACGCUUUUUGCAAGGCCCUCGGGCUUUUCGUACUUAGGAUGCUGGUGGAAUGGCUUUAAACGACCCGUCUUGAAACACGGAACC
rnacentral:rRNA from 1 species